GCCUUCGGGUUGUAAACCUCUUCAGUAGGGAAGAAGCCUUCGGGUGACGGUACCUGCAGAAGAAGUACCGGCUAACUACGUGCCAGCAGCCGCGGUAAUACGUAGGGUACAAGCGUUGUCCGGAAUUAUUGGGCGUAAAGAGCUCGUAGGCGGUCCGUCGCGUCUGCUGUGGAAUCGCAAGGCUCAACCUUGCGCGUGCAGUGGGUACGGGCGGACUAGAGUGCAGUAGGGGAGUCUGGAACUCCUGGUGUAGCGGUGAAAUGCGCAGAUAUCAGGAGGAACACCGGUGGCGAAGGCGGGACUCUGGGCUGUUACUGACGCUGAGGAGCGAAAGCAUGGGGAGCGAACAGGAUUAGAUACCCUGGUAGUCCAUGCCGUAAACGUUGGGCACUAGGUGUGGGGCUCAUUCCACGAGUUCCGCGCCGCAGCUAACGCAUUAAGUGCCCCGCCUGGGGAGUACGGCCGCAAGGCUAAAACUCAAAGGAAUUGACGGGGGCCCGCACAAGCGGCGGAGCAUGCGGAUUAAUUCGAUGCAACGCGAAGAACCUUACCAAGGCUUGACAUACACCGGAAUGGGCCAGAGAUGGUUCAGCCCUUUGGGCUGGUGUACAGGUGGUGCAUGGUUGUCGUCAGCUCGUGUCGUGAGAUGUUGGGUUAAGUCCCGCAACGAGCGCAACCCUCGUUCUAUGUUGCCAGCACGUGAUGGUGGGAACUCAUAGGAGACUGCCGGGGUCAACUCGGAGGAAGGUGGGGAUGACGUCAAAUCAUCAUGCCCUUUAUGUCUUGGGCUUCACGCAUGCUACAAUGGUUGGUACAAAGGGUGGCGAGACCGCGAGGUGGAGCGAAUCCCAGAAAGCCGAUCUCAGUUCGGAUCGUAGUCUGCAACUCGACUACGUGAAGUCGGAGUCGCUAGUAAUCGCAGAUCAGCAC
rnacentral:rRNA from 1 species